CUCCCCCCAGCCACCCGCCCCUGCUCCUCCCCUCUCCGGAACCGCUGCCCCCUCAGCCCUGAUGCCCUCUGGGUUCUGUUUUCAUACCGCGCUGCGGAUCCGGUCGUGGGAAGCAGGUGCAGGGGCCUGCAGGGCUGAGGCCCGCUGAAGGCGAGCAGCCUGUCCCGUGUUCACGGCUACACAGAGACGUGUGGACCCCAAGCUCAGAGCCUGCGCUGCCUGUGCGCAGGGCCCAGGGGGCACUCGGCCCGCCCACACAGAUACACAAUAAGAAAAAGAGUGUGAGCAAGACUGUGACAGCGGGACACAUCUGUUUCCUUAAGAGCUUAGGUUUUCUCAGAGACCCAAGCUGGUAGAAUCUGGGCACCCACACACCCUGAGGACUAGCAUUUCCCACACUGAUGAAUGCCCACUCCAAAGAGCCACAACCUGAGGUGGCCCCUGUCCCAGCUGCUGCCCUGCCCAUCCUUGUCUCCCCAGGUUCGAGGCCUCAUAAGCAGGGACUCAAAAACACGCCUCUGUCAGUUGGUAAUUCUGGCUUCGUAUGGCUCUUCUUCAUUCUGACCUCUCCAGUUUAGCCAGAGAAGUAUGUCUAAAGUGCACAUGUGCAAAAUCAUUUUACUUGCCUGCAUGCAAUUCUUCAUCAUCCAUCCAUUACCUAGAGGACGAAGUCUGAGUUUGUGAGUGUGUAAAUCUCUCCACUAGCUCCUCCCAGCCUGUCUGCUACCAUUUCCCUGGUGUCCAGCCAGAACUGGUGACAGUCUCCCAAGCAAGCAGGUCCUGCUGCACUUCUGGUCAAGAUGGAGUAGUGUACGUGGUACAGCCACUGUAGAAAACAGUGUGGACAUUCCUUGAAACAUUAAAAAUAGAACUACUGUAUGAUUCAGUAAUUCCACUUCUGGGUAUUUUAAGGGAACAAAAUCGCUAUCUCGAAAAGAUAGCUGCACCCGCAUGUUCAUUGCAACAUUAUUCACAAUAGCCAAGAUGUGGAAGUAACCUAAGUGUCCAUCAAUGGACAAGUUGUGC